rnacentral:misc_RNA from 1 species
AAAACUCGCCUCCGCCACUCGUUUCUUGUGACUCUCUGCCCUCUCUUUCUUUCCUUCGAAGAAACAAACCCAAGCCCAACAAGAAGAAGAACAACUCUCAACUCCUCUGUUUCUAAGCUGUCUUUUGAUCAUCUGAUAGAUAUUCCUUUCUAUUCUAAUCUUUUUGGCUCGUGAUUCUUGUUCCCAUGGAUUGGUUUCGCGGGGAUUUCAUUGGUUGUGGUAG